UGUGUGUUUGUCAUGUGUCAUAAAGUUGCUCUGUGAUGAUCAACAUCGGAACACUCUAGUAACAUACACUUGCUGCGGCAGCGGGUGUAGAUGGCAUCUACAUUUACUGAGCUAGAGGUGUUGACGAUCCUAUUCUCUCUCCUGGUGUUUGCCCUAUUCACACUCACUGGGAUGCUCAAUGAGGAGCGUGCAUGCACGAAUGAAACAAACAUAAAGCCACAAUCUGAGGAGGGGAUCGUCUGACUCCAGACAAGGUUCAUGAUUGACAAUGUGAAACUUCAGAAGCCAACAGCGGUCUCUAGCUUCCUGUUCAGUGCUUUAUAAAGACAUGUCAGCCAAAGCCAUGUGUGAAUGGGUGUAAGAGUGUGUUAUCAGUUACCAGAAGAAAGUCAAAGUAGAGACCGCUGAACAUGUGUGUGUACAUUAUUAUAGGAUCCAGUGUCGCUUGAUUCAGGAUGAGGCACAAAGAAUUGGCUGAGGUGUUACUUUGUGAAAGAAAAA